GACAGAGGGUGCAAACGUUGCUCGGAAUCACUGGGCGUAAAGGGCGUGUAGGCGGGAAGGAAAGUCAGAUGUGAAAUCCCCAGGCUCAACCUGGGAACUGCAUUUGAAACUCCCUUUCUUGAGUACCGGAGAGGAAAGUGGAACUCCUGGUGUAGAGGUGAAAUUCGUAGAUAUCAGGAGGAACACCAGUGGCGAAGGCGGCUUUCUGGACGGUAACUGACGCUGAGACGCGAAAGCGUGGGGAGCAAACAGG
rnacentral:rRNA from 1 species